rnacentral:rRNA from 1 species
UGGGGAAUUUUGGACAAUGGGCGCAAGCCUGAUCCAGCAAUGCCGCGUGCAGGAUGAAGGCCUUCGGGUUGUAAACCGCUUUUGUCAGGGAAGAAACGAGUUUCUCUAAUACAGAGACUUAAUGACGGUACCUGAAGAAUAAGCACCGGCUAACUACGUGCCAGCAGCCGCGGUAAUACGUAGGGUGCGAGCGUUAAUCGGAAUUACUGGGCGUAAAGCGUGCGCAGGCGGUUAUAUAAGACAGAUGUGAAAUCCCCGGGCUCAACGCGGGACCUGCAUUUGUGACUGUAUAGCUGGGGUACGGUAGAGGGGGAUGGAAUUCCGCGUGUAGCAGUGAAUUGCGUAGAUAUGCGGAGGAACACCGAUGGCGAAGGCAAUCCCCUGGACCUGUACUGACGCUCAUGCACGAAAGCGUGGGGAGCAAAC